rnacentral:lncRNA from 1 species
CCGGUGCAGCGGCUCCCCGGGCGCCGGACUCUCUGUGCACCAGAUUCCCCCGUGCAACGUCUCCCCGUGCACCGGCGUCCUCGUGCAACGGGAGUCGGACAGUCCCCGUGCAGCACCUCCCCGUGCACCGGACUCUCCGUGCACCAGAUUCCCCGUGCACCAGGAGUGGGACGGUCCCCGUGCAACGUCUCCCCAUGCACCAGAUUCCCCGUGCACCAGGAGCGGGACGGUCCCCGUGCAACAUCUCCCCGUGCACCAGCGUCCCCGUGCACCAGGAGGUGGAUGGGCCCCUGUGCAUCGUCUCUCCGUGCACCGGACUCUCCGUGCACCAGGAGCCAGAUGGUCCCCGUGCAACAGCUCCCCGUGCACCGGCCUCCCCAUGGACCAGCGUCCCUGUGCACCAGGAGCUGGACGGUCCCUGUGCAUCACCUCCCCGUGCACCAGACUCUCCAUGCACCAGAUUCCCCGUGCAUCAUCUCCCCGUGCACCGGACUCUCCGUGCACCGGAUUCCCUGUGCAACGAGAGCCAGACGGUCCCUGUGCAACAUCUCCCCGUGCACCGGACUCUGUGCACCGGAUUCCCCGUGCACCGGGAGCAAAUGGUCCCCGUGCAACAUCUCCCCGUGCACCGGACUCUCCGUGCACCGGAUUGCCCGUGCAACAUCUCCCCAUGCACCGGUGUCCCCGUGCACCAGGAGGCAUCACCUCCCCGUGCACUGGCCUCCUCGUGCACAGGAUUCCCCGUGCACUGGACUCUCCGUGCAGCAGCAGCCACGUGCACCGGAAGCAGGAUGGUCCCCGUGCACCAGCCUCCUCGUGCACCUGCCUCCUCGUGCAUCAGCUGCCUCGUGCAUUGGCACUGGGACUUCCUUGUGCAUCAGCCUCCCCGUGCACCAGCUCGCCUUGCACCGGCCGCUCUCGUGCACCAGGACCGGGGCCUCCUCGUGCAUCAGCCUCGUCGUGCACCCACCUCGUCGUGCACCGGCACCGGGACCUCCCUGUGCAUCCGCCUCCCCGUGCAUCGGCACUGGGACCUCCUUGU